ensembl:lncRNA
CUGGAACACUGUAUGAUCUGGAACACUGUAUAUACACUGUAUGAUCUGGAACACUGUAUGAUCUGGAACACUGUAUAUACACUGUAUGAUCUGGAACACUGUAUGAUCUGGAACACUGUAUAUACACUGUAUGACCUGGAACACUGUAUAUACACUGUAUGAUCUGGAACACUGUAUGAUCUGGAACACUGUAUAUACACUGUAUGAUGUGGAACACUGUAUGAUCUGGAACACUGUAUGAUCUGGAACACUGUAUGACCUGGAACACUGUAUAUACACUGUAUGAUCUGGAACACUGUAUGAUCUGGAACACUGUAUGAUCUGGAACACUGUAUAUACACUGUAUGAUCUGGAACACUGUAUGAUCUGGAACACUGUAUAUACACUGUAUGAUCUGGAACACUGUAUGAUCUGGAACACUGUAUGAUCUGGAACACUGUAUGAUCUGGAACACUGUAUAUACACUGUAUGAUCUGGAACACUGUAUGAUCUGGAACACUGUAUAUACACUGUAUGAUCUGGAACACUGUAUGAUCUGGAACACUGUAUGAUCUGGAACACUGUAUGAUCUGGAACACUGUAUGAUCUCAGCAGCUGAUAACUGCAUCCAUUGUUCAGGUCCAACACUGACUAUAUGUUUGAAGAACAAUGAAAAUACUUAGUACACUGUAACUUGCCCACUGGAAACUUAGUACACGGUAACUCACUCACUGGACCACUAGCAAAUACUACAUUUGUGUUUUAGACAAAGUACUUUCUUAGCUACAUGUAUGUUAAAUUUAUAUGCUUGAAUUGUAGAAGAUUGGCGAUUUCUUUCUGCUCUCGAUGAUGAUGUUGAUAACCCACACAAAUAUCAACAUCUGAAUGGUGUUUUUUAAACCGCUGGUGCCUUAUCUUUCUCUACAAGAAGGUUGGCUUAUCUCAAGACAGAAGCAGCUCAUGGACUUGAUUGAAUGCUGAUUGAUUGAAUGCUGUUCAUGUUUGAGCCACAGAGUGUUUAAAAUCCUAUUUAUUUAAACUAACAAAAGGUGGCCAUUUUGUGACAUGGCCUUGUGUAACUGAAGGAGAAAACGGUUUGGCCAGAAGCCACGCUGGCAGCCUACUGAAAGAGUGAUGGAUUUAUACACUGGAGUAUUGUAUUAUUCUAGCCUUUCCAUUCAUUGCUCUGAAUAUGUGUAACGCUUUUCGUCUUCCCCUCCCUGACGGGAAACAACACCCUUUCCCUUCAGCCAUGUUUAUAAGUAUCUCCUCUGGAAAACACACCUCUUCACAUGUACUCUGUUAUUAGCCUAUACUUUUUGUAGUGAUAUCUUUUCCUUACUCACUGACCACUGUCCUCUUUGAAACAACAUUGAUUGUGUUCCUCAUAUGUCAUGUAAUACAGAAUUUAGUAUAUACAUGUAUUACUACGUGAUGAAGGACCCCUUUGGAUAUUAUCUGGUAUCUGAAUAUCUCAAGUUAACAAAAUACCUAUUCCCAUCUCAAGUUCAGAAUGCACCAUCUCUCUCCAAUACAGAGACCUGGGCCCGUUUUCAGAAAUCGCCUUAGAGUUGGAGUGCUGAGCUAGGAUCAGUUCUCAGGGUAGGAGUGCUGAUCUAGGAUCAAGUUCCCAUUGUCGAUGUCCAAAAAAAAUAUCUUUGAUCACAAAUACAGGCCCCUGGUUGGUUGAAACAGAUGUAUUGACACAAUAUCCCUCUGACCAGUAUGUGUUAAAUCUUACCUGACCUGUCAUGUCAUAAGAAAUCUAAAUUCAAAAACAAAUAAUCAAAUGAAUAUACUUAAUUGAAGAUGACACAAUAUAAACAUAUAGUAUUAUACUGUAUUACCAAUAUGAUUUUGCCAUACAUGAGUACAGUGUACUGUUUUAGCUUAUUUAUAAUGCACCAGCCAGCCUUUAUAGUGACACCAGCAUAGUAGGUGUAGUUUAGCACUGUAUAUACGGACUGCUUAAUGCUCUGAUGGUGUUUCCAACUGGUUCCAACUGGUUUCAACUGGUUCCAACUGGUUUCAACUGGUUCCAACUGGUUCCAACUGGUAUAGAAGCUGAUUACGUGUUACUAUGUAGCUUCAUUUUGUAACAAAUAAUGCUCCUUUUUUUAUGUUAUUUCUUGUUUUAUCACUAUAAUUUUUACUCCUUAUUACUGUAUCAUGUAUGUUGUAUCAUUAAUAUGUAAAUGUUGUUUUAUGAAAUGAUAUGCCAAUCAAAAUCACUAUUCUCCUUUUACCUGUGUCGCUGAGAAAGAAAACACAUGGGCGUGUGCACGCACACACACACCUCAAUAC